UACGUAGGGGGCGAGCGUUGUCCGGAGUUACUGGGCGUAAAGCGCACGCAGGCGGUCUGCUAAGUUUGGAGUGACAGUUGGUGGCUUAACUGCCAAAGUGCUUCGAAAACUGACAGACUUGAGGGCUUCAGAGGGACACGGAAUUCCGGGUGGAGUGGUGAAAUGCGUAGAGAUCCGGAGGAACACCAGUGGCGAAGGCGGCGAUCUGGGUCGAUACUGACGCUGAGGUGCGAAAGCGUGGGGAGCAAACAGG
rnacentral:rRNA from 1 species